rnacentral:tRNA from 2 species
UAUAAUUUAGUAUAUAAUGUACUUAGGUUUUUGAAGCCUAAAGAAAUAGUUUAAUUCUGUUAAUUAUAA